rnacentral:rRNA from 1 species
AGAUGAACGCUGGCGGCAGGCCUAACACAUGCAAGUCGAGCGGUAGCACAGAGAGCUUGCUCUCGGGUGACGAGCGGCGGACGGGUGAGUAAUGUCUGGGAAACUGCUGAUGGAGGGGGAUAACUACUGGAAACGGUAGCUAAUACCGCAUAACGUCGUAAGACCAAAGUGGGGGACCUUCGGGCCUCAUGCCAUCAGAUGUGCCCAGAUGGGAUUAGCUAGUAGGUGGGGUAACGGCUCACCUAGGCGACGAUCCCUAGCUGGUCUGAGAGGAUGACCAGCCACACUGGAACUGAGACACGGUCCAGACUCCUACGGGAGGCAGCAGUGGGGAAUAUUGCACAAUGGGCGCAAGCCUGAUGCAGCCAUGCCGCGUGUGUGAAGAAGGCCUUCGGGUUGUAAAGCACUUUCAGCGGGGAGGAAGGCGGUGAGGUUAAUAACCUCAUCGAUUGACGUUACCCGCAGAAGAAGCACCGGCUAACUCCGUGCCAGCAGCCGCGGUAAUACGGAGGGUGCAAGCGUUAAUCGGAAUUACUGGGCGUAAAGCGCACGCAGGCGGUCUGUCAAGUCGGAUGUGAAAUCCCCGGGCUCAACCUGGGAACUGCAUUCGAAACUGGCAGGCUAGAGUCUUGUAGAGGGGGGUAGAAUUCCAGGUGUAGCGGUGAAAUGCGUAGAGAUCUGGAGGAAUACCGGUGGCGAAGGCGGCCCCCUGGACAAAGACUGACGCUCAGGUGCGAAAGCGUGGGGAGCAAACAGGAUUAGAUACCCUGGUAGUCCACGCCGUAAACGAUGUCGAUUUGGAGGUUGUGCCCUUGAGGCGUGGCUUCCGGAGCUAACGCGUUAAAUCGACCGCC